rnacentral:rRNA from 1 species
UGGGGGGAACCUUGAUCCAGCCAUGCCGCGUGUGUGAAGAAGGCCUUAUGGUUGUAAAGCACUUUAAGCGAGGAGGAGGCUACUUUAGUUAAUACCUAGAGAUAGUGGACGUUACUCGCAGAAUAAGCACCGGCUAACUCUGUGCCAGCAGCCGCGGUAAU